AUUACCUUAAGUGCUGCCCUUCACUUCUCGCUUAAAGCGAGGAAGCGAGCGCUUUUUUAAUCACUGACUAGCUCCGCCCCUGACUCGAACUAGUUAGAAUUCAGAACCUUGUGACUUUACGACUUGAAUCCAUUCUAGGGUGAGAGCUAUAAUGUUGAUGCUAGUCAAUUUCUUAUAUUGAGCUGAGGUUGCUAGUUCAGUAGGAAAGAGUUAUCUUUUUGUUGCUUUACUCUUUGUGUUUACAAGUGUAGUUAAUGCUUCCUAUAUGAAUAGGUUGCUUCCUAUGUGAAAAUGUUAAAAGUUCAAUGAUUUGUUUGGUGGUUGUUAUAUCUGCUUUAUUUUCUGUUCUGUCCUCUCCUUGAAAGGGGCUGAUCCAUGUAACUGAUGGAAAUUUUCGGAUUUUCCUAAUGAAUUCAGGGAAAACUCAAGAUGCCAAUAGAACACCUGUUAAAUUUCCCAUGAAGAGCUCAAAACUUAAACUGAAGCAAUUGAAGAAGAAAGGCAAGUUCCUAUAGAGUUGCUAUUUUACAUUCUUAUUUGAACUAGGAUAGGAUUCUUUGUUAAUUUCGCUUAUUGACUACAAAUCCAUGUGUUACAGGAAAGGGAAAAAGGAAUUCUAAUAAACAAGCUACAGAAGCUUCCGUGGAUGUAAUGGUGGAGUAAGCGAGGGACAUUAGAAUCAUUUUGCUGACUGCUUGAUGGGCAAUAUGUCUUUUUUUUUUUUUUUUUUUGUUGUUCUGUCCCUACUUUCCUGGGAGUUAACAAGGGCUUGUAAUCUACGUUUGUAUUAGCAUCUGCUACUAGGAAAAAAGGAGGUAGGGGUUCUUAUAGUUCUUCAUGUUAGUGGUUAUAUGUUUGUAUCAUACAAUUUUGUGGAUACUAUGGAUCUUUGGGAUUAAAGAUGUUCUUAAAAGAGCUCAUAACUGAGCCUGUUUGUCAGAGCUAGUCAAUACACUCUCCUGUUUCUUUAUGAAUGGUAACUUCUGCGGCAGUAGCAUGGAAAGUUGCUAAAAGAAAGUGGCAUCAUAAUCGGGGAAGAAAGCCAAAUAUGUCAUAAUGAGCAGGGGACCAUAGCUCAUAUUUUUACAGAGUGCAGUGUGUUAAAAAAAUUCUGGCCGGACAAAUUACAUCAAAUUAUGACCCUCUGUCUUCCAUCAGAACUGGAUUAAACCAGCUGUACUUCUAAUAAUAACUACUAAGGUCAACAUUUCCCCUUUCUGACUCUGGCACAAAUGGAUCAAUCGAAAUCAAAAACCACUUCACUAAUAAAAAGGAUCUUCUAAAUACCAACUCAGUCAUUGCAAAAGCUACCGAAUAAAUAAUGC
rnacentral:lncRNA from 1 species